rnacentral:rRNA from 1 species
UACGAGGGGUGCAAGCGUUGCUCGGAAUCAUUGGGCGUAAAGCGCACGUAGGCGGCUUGCCAAGUCGGACGUGAAAUCCCUCAGCUCAACUGAGGACGUGCAUCCGAAACUGGCGAGCUUGAGUGCUGAAGAGGAUCGCGGAAUUCCCGGUGUAGAGGUGAAAUUCGUAGAUAUCGGGAGGAACACCAGUGGCGAAGGCGGCGAUCUGGGCAGACACUGACGCUGAGGUGCGAAAGCGUGGGGAGCAAACAGG